rnacentral:ncRNA from 1 species
UGCCCCGGUACUGCCAGCCCCUCCUGAAAGGAACAGUGAGGGAAAAGAAACCUGCCAAACCCCACCCCUCCCGCCCGCGCCCGGCGAGCGGGAGUCGUGGUCACUCCGGUGAGUGAUGUUCGCCAACCGGACUUGAUCUGGGGAGGGUUGUAUGCCUUACGCUCUGCCUCACACAGCUUCAGAAAUUCAACGGCCCCCGCCGGGACUGGCAUCCCAAUGCGAGGGCCUCACCACCAAGGAAGAAGCCUGCUUCCCG